GGAAAAAACCACCCCGACCCGACCUCCACGGCUCCACCAGACCACCUUCACCCCGAUCCCCUGAUCCCAUCACCGCCCGGACAACCCCGCUGCCCCGCGACCUGCCGGGACUCCCCGCCACUGCCCGGCCUCCCGGAAUCCCCGCCGCUGCGCGACCUCCCUAGCCCCCGCCUCUGCUCCCCGACCCGACCUAGCUACUGCGGCCGCACCCCACCUCCGCCAGGAUCUCUCCUCCGCCACAACCACGCCAGCGAGCACCGCCCCUCUUCUCAUCCAUUUUAGCCAGGACCUCGCCUCGCCAGGACAACAACCCAGCCAUCCCCGCACGUCAAUGGGCCGCUGCCCCACUCCUCCAUCUCCCCGGUGAUGCUGCUGGGCGGAGGCUCCCCCACCGCGCAGCCUCCUACAGGUGCAGCUUCACUGCCGCACCACGGUGUUAAUCGGCGCCUCCUCUAGCCGUUCAGGCUACAACAGUUUUCUCCCUGAACACUUCUGGGGACCAAAAAAGGUGUGGUCGUGUAGCGGCCGCCGGCGAGGAUCAAUGGCACUGUAUGAUGCACUUCAAAGUGUUCGUGUUAAUGCCUCAAUGAAAAAUGAGUCGUGUAGUUUUGUAUUUCAGUGCGAGCACACUCAAAUCCUUGAAACUGCCCACGCCCAACUGAUUUGUCUUCGUGUUCGGCCUACAUAAGCUAUUUUUAUUUGUGUCUAAAGCAGAACUCAGGAAGUCAAUAUGCCACGUACGACGGCUAUGCGUCGUUCGCGGUGAAGUUCUACUA